rnacentral:rRNA from 1 species
UACGGAGGGGACUAGCGUUGUUCGGAAUUACUGGGCGUAAAGCGCACGUAGGCGGAUUUGUAAGUCAGGGGUGAAAUCCCGGGGCUUAACUCCGAAACUGCAUUCGAUACUGCCGUGCUUGAGGACUGGAGAGGAGACUGGAAUUUACGGUGUAGCGGUGAAAUGCGUAGAUAUUGGGAAGAACACCGGUGGCGAAGGCGGCUCUCUGGACCGAGACUGACGCUGAGGCGCGAAAGCGUGGGGAGCGAACAGG